rnacentral:rRNA from 1 species
GUAGGGUGCGAGCGUUGUCCGGAAUUACUGGGCGUAAAGAGCUCGUAGGUGGUCUGUCGCGUCAUUUGUGAAAGCCCGGGGCUUAACUCCGGGUUGGCAGGUGAUACGGGCAUGACUGGAGUACUGUAGGGGAGACUGGAAUUCCUGGUGUAGCGGUGAAAUGCGCAGAUAUCAGGAGGAACACCGGUGGCGAAGGCGGGUCUCUGGGCAGUAACUGACGCUGAGGAGCGAAAGCAUGGGUAGCGAACAGGAUUAGAUACCCUGGUAGUCCAUGCCGUAAACGGUGGGCGCUAGGUGUGGGUUUCCUUCCACGGGAUCCGUGCCGUAGCUAACGCAUUAAGCGCCCCGCCUGGGGAGUACGGCCGCAAGGCUAAA